GGCUUAAUUAGUUAUUUGGUCCCUUAAAGAUAUUUGAGGUUUCACAAUGGUCCCUUAAAGAAAAAAAGGUUCGGAUUAGUCCCUUAAAGACAUUUCCGUUUAUCACAUUGGUCCUUUCCGUCAAUUUUUUUCAAAAACCGUUAGUUUCAACAAAUAUGNNNNNNNNNNNNNNNNNNUUAAUUUUUUAAAUUUUAACCAUUUGAUAUUUUUGUUAAAAAGACAACCAUUAGAUUUUGUAGGUAUAUUGUAUCUAAUGGUGUACCACCAACACUUAAUCUUGUUUUUGCUUUUCAUCAUCUUCUUUCUUUCAUUGUUCUUCAUCUUCAACAACAAUUUUUUAAAUUGAAACAAAAACUCAGAAAUUUCAGUCCGAAAAUCCGAAAAUAAAACACUUAAAGAAAUCAGAUCUGAUAAAAUACAAUAAAAGAGAAUGGCCAGAAAAUGUUAACAUAUCAAUUUCACUCCUUUUCCCACUUUGAGAAUGGCCAGAN
rnacentral:lncRNA from 1 species